rnacentral:lncRNA from 1 species
CCCCUUUUUUUUUCAAGUUCAUCAUGCACCAACUGGCCCAAGAGCUUGCGCUAAUGCACCUCAUAUAAUGUCAUCUUCG